rnacentral:rRNA from 1 species
CCUACGGGUGGCAGCAGUGAGGAAUAUUGGUCAAUGGCCGUAAGGCUGAACCAGCCAAGUAGCGUGAGGGAAUACUGCCCUAUGGGUUGUAAACCUCUUUUAUGCGGGGAUAAAGGUGUCCACUUGUGGAUGUUUGCAGGUACCGCAUUAAUAAUGAUCGGCUAACUCCGUGCCAGCAGCCGCGGUAAUACGGAGGAUCCGAGCGUUAUCCGGAUGUGUUGGGUUUAAAGGGAGCGUAGAUGGGUUGUUAAGUCAGUUGUGAAAGUUUGCGGCUCAACCGUAAAAUUGCAAUUGAUACUGGCAGUCUUGAGUACAGUUGAGGUAGGCGGAAUUCGUGGUGUAGCGGUGAAAUGCUUAGAUAUCACGAAGAACCCCGAUUGCGAAGGCAGCUUACUAAACUGUGACUGACAUUGAUGCACGAAAGUGUGGGUAUCAAACAGGAUUAGAUACCCCAGUAGUC